rnacentral:rRNA from 1 species
CCUACGGGUGGCAGCAGUCGAGAAUUUUUCACAAUGGGCGCAAGCCUGAUGGAGCGACGCCGCGUGGGGGAUGAAUGGCUUCGGCCCGUAAACCCCUGUCAUUCGCGAUCAAACCUUAUUAUUUAAAAGAUGAUGAGCUGAUAGUAGCGGAAGAGGAAGGGACGGCUAACUCUGUGCCAGCAGCCGCGGUAAUACAGAGGUCCCAAGCGUUGUUCGGAUUCACUGGGCGUAAAGGGUGCGUAGGUGGUGAGGUAAGUCGGAUGUGAAAUCUCGGAGCUCAACUCCGAAAUGGCAUUGGAAACUACCUUGCUCGAGGGUUGGAGGGGGGACUGGAAUACUUGGUGUAGCAGUGAAAUGCGUAGAUAUCAAGUGGAACACCAGUGGCGAAGGCGAGUCCCUGGACAACUCCUGACACUGAGGCACGAAAGCUAGGGGAGCAA